rnacentral:lncRNA from 1 species
GCAAGUGAAGUUCACAUUAUAACAAAUGAACGCAAAGGAGAUACAGGAAAACACACCCAUUAUCAAGAUCAUGAUAAUUUUGACAAAAUAUAUUUAAUUAUCUAUCUCACUGUAUUUUCAAAUGCUUAUAUAUAUAUAUAUAUAUAUUGUCAUACACGAGACAAGCAUAAAUUCGUAAUUUGUAACUUGUAAACCCCGUGCAUUUAUUUUCUAUGUAUAUGACAAAAUAUCACCCAUGGUUGCCAGGGCCACCAGGUGAGUGACCUGAUCCACCGGGGCGUGAACCAUGAUAGCCCACUCCACUUUUACUUUCUCAUAACCCUUGGGUUCUCUUUAUUUUCAUCGACAACUGCCGCUGAAUAAGAAAUUGAUGGUUUGAAUAUUUAGUAUCUUUACAUCAAAACGUAAAUAUCAGUAUUAUUACUAGAACUAGAACUAGAAGUAGAAGGAGAAGAGAGAAGAGAGAGCCUUACUGGUUUUGGGGACUCGAGUUAUUUCGAGCAAUAGCAGUAUUAUAAGAUGCAAACAAAAUGAGGAAAAGGAUUGGGAUAGCAUAGGAAGCCAUUUUAACCAUUUCAGUUACUUUCUUCUAUUAAAGGAGAAGAGUAAUCACGGCAUAUCAAUUCCUUCGUCACCAUUAUAUACUCUAAAAGUUUC